GAGUGAAACUCAAAGGAAUUGACGGGGACCCGCACAAGUAGCGGAGCAUGUGGUUUAAUUCGAAGCAACGCGAAGAACCUUACCUAAGCUUGACAUCCCAAUGACAUCUCCUUAAUCGGAGAGUUCCCUUCGGGGACAUUGGUGACAGGUGGUGCAUGGUUGUCGUCAGCUCGUGUCGUGAGAUGUUGGGUUAAGUCCCGCAACGAGCGCAACCCUUGUCUUUAGUUGCCAUCAUUAAGUUGGGCACUCUAGAGAGACUGCCAGGGAUAACCUGGAGGAAGGUGGGGAUGACGUCAAAUCAUCAUGCCCCUUAUGCUUAGGGCUACACACGUGCUACAAUGGGUAGUACAGAGGGUUGCCAAGCCGUAAGGUGGAGCUAAUCCCUUAAAGCUACUCUCAGUUCGGAUUGUAGGCUGAAACUCGCCUACAUGAAGCUGGAGUUACUAGUAAUCGCAGAUCAGAAUGCUGCGGUGAAUGCGUUCCCGGGUCUUGUACACACCGCCCGUCACACCACGGGAGUUGGAGACGCCCGAAGCCGAUUAUCUAACCUUUUGGAAGAAGUCGUCGAAGGUGGAAUUAAUAACUGGGGUGAAGUCGUAACAAGGUAGCCGUAUCGGAAGGUGCGGCUGGAUCACCUCCUUUCUAAGGA
rnacentral:rRNA from 1 species